rnacentral:rRNA from 1 species
UACGUAGGGCGCAAGCGUUAUCCGGAAUUAUUGGGCGUAAAGAGCUCGUAGGCGGUUUGUCGCGUCGAAUGUGAAAUCCCGGGGCUCAACCCCGGGUCUGCAUUCGAUACGGGCAGACUAGAGUUCGGUAGGGGAGUCUGGAAUUCCUGGUGUAGCGGUGAAAUGCGCAGAUAUCAGGAGGAACACCGGUGGCGAAGGCGGGACUCUGGGCCGAUACUGACGCUGAGGAGCGAAAGCGUGGGGAGCAAACAGG